rnacentral:rRNA from 1 species
AGAGUUUGAUCAUGGCUCAGGAUGAACGUUGGCGGUGUGCCUAAUACAUGCAAGUCGAACGGAGUUAAUAGCAAUAUUGACUUAGUGGCGAACGGGUGAGUAACGCGUUGGUGAUCUGCCUCGAAGUGUGGAAUAACGUUCCGAAAGGAACGCUAAUACCGCAUGUGCUCUCGAUUUUUAGAAACUUGAGAGUAAAGGAUUUAUUCGCUUCGAGAGGAGCCUGCGUCCCAUCAGCUGGUUGGUAGGGUAACGGCCUACCAAGGCUAUGACGGGUAGGGGACCUGAGAGGGUGGCCCCCCACAAUGGAACUGAAACACGGUCCAUACACCUACGGGUGGCAGCAGUAGGGAAUAUUAGAAAUGGACGAAAGUCUGAUCUAGCAACACCGCGUGUGCGAAGAAGGCCUUCGGGUCGUAAAGCACUUUUUGGAAGGAAUAGGAAGGAAUGUACUUCCAGAAUAAGUCUCGGCUAACUACGUGCCAGCAGCCGCGGUAACACGUAGGAGGCGAACGUUAUCCGGAUUUACUGGGCGUAAAGCGCGUGUAGGUGGUACUGUAAGUAGGGCGUGAAAGCUCCCGGCUCAACUGGGAGAGGCCGUUCUAAACUACAGAACUAGAGGAUGGUAGAGGGAGGUGGAAUUCCAGGUGUAGCGGUGGAAUGCGCAGAUAUCUGGAGGAACACCAGUGGCGAAGGCGGCCUCCUGGACCAUUCCUGACACUCAGACGCGAAAGCUAGGGUAGCAAACGGGAUUAGAGACCCCGGUAGUCCUAGCCCUAAACGAUGUAGACUAGGCGUCGGAAGUUUAAUCACUUUCGGUGUCCAAGCUAACGCGAUAAGUCUACCGCCUGGGGACUACGGCCGCAAGGUUAAAACUCAAAGGAAUUGACGGG